CGGCAAAUUUCAGACUGAAAUAGUUGGUUGUAGGCGGGAAUUGUGUACAAAUCUGUUUGUGAUUUCAGUGUGGUAUCGUACAAUAACGACAGCACAAAGCUUCGAUUAAAGGUUGCUGGAUGGAUAAAAAUAAUCUAUGCAGGCGAGAAAAAGGAAAAACAGAAUUGACUUUACGUCCUUGGACCGGAUAUAAUACUGGUUUGAUUCGCGAAUUGAAAAGGGACGAACACAAGAAGCAAAAGGGCAAUCCAAACAGUUGAUCGAUCACAAAGGCAAUUACAGUUUCACAAAGAGCAUUCGGUGUGCACAUUGUCGUCCCACAAAUCGUCCGUACUCCAAUAAUUCCGCUCGUGUUUCAUCCGGACCAAGAGCCUGCAGAAAUCAAAAGACAAAGACAGAUUAAUUCUAUAAAAUAAAUAGACGAAAUGGACUUCGUUACAGGAUUAAUUUUGGUAUUCAAACUUUUGGGUGCAAAAUAUUCGUUAACUAUUCUGGAGAAAAUCUUUCAUAAGUUGUUUUAAAAUUUUAUUGAAAUGAAAGCAUCUACUUUCUCCGCCUGUUCGUGUACAGAGAUUUAAUGGAACAUUCUUUAUCAAUUAUUUCGGUUGUGACGCAUACUAAGAUUUCUCGAAAUCGAGUAUGCAUUCCAAAACUGCACAACGAUAACAAUCUUUCAACACUUUAAAAUUAAUUAUUUCAAUUUCAAUAUGCAUGUGUUUACCUCGAUAUUCAAUGUCCUUCUGAGAAAAUCCAAAACUUGAUCUACACUCUCUACGCAAAAUGACUGUAAUAUAAGCAAUAAAUAAUAUUCGUCGAAUGAAAACGAGAACGAAA